GACAGAGGGUGCAAGCGUUGUUCGGAAUUACUGGGCGUAAAGCGCGUGUAGGCGGUUUUUCAAGUCCUGUGUGAAAGCCCUGGGCUCAACCCAGGAAGUGCGCAGGAUACUGGAUGACUGGAGUGGCGGAGAGGAUGGCGGAAUUCCCGGUGUAGAGGUGAAAUUCGUAGAUAUCGGGAGGAACACCUGUGGCGAAGGCGGCCAUCUGGACGUUCACUGACGCUGAGACGCGAAAAGCGUGGGUAGCAAACAGG
rnacentral:rRNA from 1 species